rnacentral:rRNA from 1 species
GACGAACGCUGGCGGCGUGCUUAACACAUGCAAGUCGAACGGAAAGGCUCCAGCUUGCUGGAGUACUCGAGUGGCGAACGGGUGAGUAACACGUGGGUAAUCUGCCCUGCACUCUGGGAUAAGCCUGGGAAACUGGGUCUAAUACUGGAUAUGACCUUUCUCCUUAUGGGGUUUGGUGGAAAGUUCUUCGGUGUAGGAUGAGCCCGCGGCCUAUCAGCUUGUUGGUGGGGUGAUGGCCUACCAAGGCGACGACGGGUAGCCGGCCUGAGAGGGUGAUCGGCCACAUUGGGACUGAGAUACGGCCCAGACUCCUACGGGAGGCAGCAGUGGGGAAUAUUGCACAAUGGGCGGAAGCCUGAUGCAGCGACGCCGCGUGAGGGAUGACGGCCUUCGGGUUGUAAACCUCUUUCAGCAGGGACGAAGCGUAAGUGACGGUACCUGCAGAAGAAGCACCGGCUAACUACGUG